GAGUUUGAUCGUGGCUCAGAUUGAACGCUGGCGGCAUGCCUUACACAUGCAAGUCGAACGGCAGCAUGAUCUAGCUUGCUAGAUUGAUGGCGAGUGGCGAACGGGUGAGUAAUACAUCGGAACGUGCCCUGUAGUGGGGGAUAACUAGUCGAAAGAUUAGCUAAUACCGCAUACGACCUGAGGGUGAAAGUGGGGACCGCAAGGCCUCAUGCUAUAGGAGCGGCCGAUGUCUGAUUAGCUAGUUGGUGGGGUAAAGGCCCGACCAAGGCGACGAUCAGUAGCUGGUCUGAGAGGACGAUCAGCCACACUGGGACUGAGACACGGCCCAGACUCCUACGGGAGGCAGCAGUGGGGAAUUUUGGACAAUGGGCGAAAGCCUGAUCCAGCAAUGCCGCGUGUGUGAAGAAGGCCUCGGUGUAAG
rnacentral:rRNA from 1 species